rnacentral:rRNA from 1 species
AUUGAACGCUGGCGGCAGGCCUAACACAUGCAAGUCGAAUGGUAACAGGAAACAGCUUGCUGUUUCGCUGACGAGUGGCGGACGGGUGAGUAAUGUCUGGGAAACUGCCUGAUGGAGGGGGAUAACUACUGGAAACGGUAGCUAAUACCGCAUAACGUCGCAAGACCAAAGAGGAGGACCUUCGGGCCUCUUGCCAUCAGAUGCGCCCAGAUGGGAUUAGCUAGUAGGUGGGGUAACGGCUCACCUAGGCGACGAUCCCUAGCUGGUCUGAGAGGAUGACCAGCCACACUGGAACUGAGACACGGUCCAGACUCCUACGGGAGGCAGCAGUGGGGAAUAUUGCGCAAUGGGCGCAAGCCUGAUGCAGCCAUGCCGCGUGUAUGAAGAAGGCCUUCGGGUUGUAAAGUACUUUCAGCGGGGAGGAAGGGAGUAAAGUUAAUACCUUGGCUCAUUGACGUUACCCGCAGAAGAAGCACCGGCUAACUCCGUG